CUCCCCCCUUUUUUUCACCUUAUUCCUUAACGGUUUGAGCCACAACUCCCAAAGACAAUUCUUACCAUCCCUUUGUGGUAUUCCAAUAUCCAAAAUCUAAAUACAUGGCUAGAUUCAUCAUAUCAAAGAACCCCAAGAAUUCAAUUUUUGAUGAAAUCAAAUAAAGUUCAAUUUUGGACCCUUUAGACCUCAAUGUGGACCAAUUUGAUAACUGGUCCUAAAUAUUAAAAAUCUAAAUAAAUGGUUAGAUUCAGCAUAUUGAAGAACCCCAAGAAUUCAA
rnacentral:lncRNA from 1 species